rnacentral:rRNA from 1 species
AAAGGAAUAGACGGGGGCCCGCACAAGCGGUGGAGCAUGUGGUUCAAUUCGACGCAACGCGAAGAACCUUACCUGGGCUCGAACGGCUCACGAAAGUCUGUGGAAACAUGGAUUUCCCGCAAGGGACGGGAGUCGAGGUGCUGCAUGGCUGUCGUCAGCUCGUGUCGUGAGAUGUUGGGUUAAGUCCCGCAACGAGCGCAACCCUUGCCCUGUGUUGCCAGGCUAGCAAUAGCGGAACUCGCAGGGGACCGCCAGCGAUAAGCUGGAGGAAGGUGGGGAUGACGUCAAGUCAUCAUGGCCUUUAUGUCCAGGGCUACACACGUGCUACAAUGGCCGGUACAGAGCGCUGCCAAGUCGCGAGACGGAGCUAAUCGCAGAAAACCGGUCUCAGUUCGGAUUGCAGGCUGCAACCCGCCUGCAUGAAGCUGGAAUCGCUAGUAAUGGCGCAUCAGCAUGGCGCCGUGAAUACGUUCCCGGGCCUUGUACACACCGCCCGU